rnacentral:rRNA from 1 species
AUACGGAGGGUGCGAGCGUUGUUCGGAAUCACUGGGCGUAAAGCGCACGUAGGCGGGUUCAUAAGCCGAUUGUGAAAGCCCGGGGCUUAACCUCGGAAUUGCAGUCGGAACUGUGGAUCUUGAAUGCCUGAGAGGUUGGGGGAAUUCCUGGUGUAGAAGUGAAAUUCGUAGAUAUCAGGAGGAACACCUGAGGCGAAGGCGCCUGACUGGCAGUGCAUUGACGCUGAGGUGCGAAAGCGUGGGGAGCAAACAGGAUUAGAAACCCCAGUAGUCC